rnacentral:rRNA from 1 species
UAAGGAAUAUUGGUCAAUGCCCGGAAGGGUGAACCAGCCAUCCCGCGUGAAGGAUGAAGGGGCUCUGCCUUGUAAACUUCUUUUGAAUGGGACGAAAAAGCCUCACUUGUGAGGAACUGACGGUACCAUUAGAAUAAGCACCGGCUAACUCCGUGCCAGCAGCCGCGGUAAUACGGAGGGUGCGAGCGUUAUCCGGAAUCACUGGGUUUAAAGGGUGCGUAGGCGGCUGUAUAAGUCAGUGGUGAAAGGCUGUGGCUUAACCAUGGGAUUGCCAUUGAUACUGUACGGCUUGAAUUAGGAUGAGGUUGGCGGAAUGUGACAUGUAGCGGUGAAAUGCUUAGAUAUGUCAUGGAACAUCGAUUGCGAAGGCAGCUGACUGGGCCUUAAUUGACGCUGAGGCACGAAAGCGUGGGGAGCGAACAGGAUUAGAUACCCUUGUAGUCCCUGAGCGGGCUGGCAAGGCGCAU